rnacentral:lncRNA from 1 species
GACAGAGCUUCUGCCCCGAGACUCAGAAAAAUACUCUCCUGUGCCUCGGCUCAGUAUAGAUUUCUAGACCCUGAUCAUUGCUUAAGAGAGAUUCUCUGGGGUCCUACGUCUCUGCAAUUUGUGUAUGAAUAACAGAAUAAUUUCCCUCUUUUGUUUCGCCUUUCCUGUUCCUGAAUCUAAAUAAAGAUGGCUUUUUAGUAUUAAAAGUGGAAGAAAAUUACAGGUAAUUAUCUUUGACGGUAAAAACGCUGUAAUCAGCGGGCUACAUGAAAAAUUACUCUAAUUAUGGCUGCAUUUAAGAGAAUGGAAAAAAACCUUCUUGUGGAUAAAAACCUUAAAUUGUCCCCAAUGUCUGCUUCAAAUUGGAUGGCACUGCAGCUGGAGGCUUUGUUCAGAAUUGAUCCUGGGGAGCUACAAACCCAAAGUUUCACAGUAGGAAGGGGGAAAAAAGAAAAGAAAACAUUUUUCCUAAUGUAACAAUGCGAAUGGUAGAAAAUGACAAGACUGAUCGGUUUUAAACCAUUCUGAAGACUGACUGAGUGUGGAAGUUGCUCAACAAAAAAAGGAACGGGGAUAUUGCUGCUGAGAACCAGAGGGAAACCUCCUCCCAGAAGAACAUUUCCAUACACUGCUUCCCCACUGCUGUGGAGUCCCCUGAACACUGGUCCCUGGACACCAACUUCAAGAAGACUUCGUGAUGGCUGUCCAGUCUUAUGAACCACAGUUUUCCCUGUGUGUUUUCUCCAGUGAUGCUCUCAUCUGGGUCAGAUUAGAGAUGAACCAGCUGGAGAACAGAUUGGAGCGCUGACCUCUUAGAGUGCUAACAGUCAACAGUUUGCUGUCAGACCCAUAGAGAAAUAAUAAAAAUACGUUCCAUGCAAGGGAGUGGGAUGUUUAUAAUUCCUUAAAGGCUGAAAUCAAGGAACAAUCAAAAUAUAGAGGAAUGCGGACUUGUUUUACUGCAGGAUUUUUGUUUUGUCCCUACUGGGAUACAUAUUCUGGUGUUACUACUGCAUCAGGACUCAGGCAAGGCUAUGUAUUCUAGUGGUGCUCCUACUUAGCUCUUGUGCUUUAGUAAGAGACACUAACUCAUUAGACUUGGUAUUACUGAUCUGCACUGUAGGUCUGCACUCACGACCUGGGAGAUAUUGGCAAUGAUUCUCUUAUAUGAUAAAGGUCAAUGAUAAAAGUACUUCAACUCCCCUCGAACUUUUUGUUUGUACACCAAGUGAUGACACUGUGUAUUGAACUAAUUAGAUCAGUGGAGUUACAGGGUGAUACUGACCUCUAAAAAUAUUUGGCUGAAACCUGGCAUUGCUAGUUAUCUGUAGAAGAGGACGAUAUGGAACAUGCAAACAUCACAAAACAUGGGAUUACUGGUCAGACUUGGAAACCCAGCAACCAGGCAAGUUCAGCAUAGAACCUGCAGAAACUAGCAGCAGGUAGACAUGGUUCCUUUUCCAUGGAUCUUACAACCAAAUGUCCCUGUAGAAAGCAGAGGCUAUCAUGUGUAUGUGGCCACACAGAUGUUCUUGAGCACAGCCUCUAGUCAGUGGGAGAGUUCCUACUGCUGUAGGCCAUGGCUGUCUUCUCUAAGCCUGAAUUUUACAAACACUUUGUGAACCUGGACUGCUUUUCUUUAGCAAGCCUUGAAAAGUUCCAGGAUGUCAGGGAAGUGUCUUGGGGUUGGCAGGGCUUCUAGGGAGGGAAAUAUUAAAUGAUUUGGACCAGAAAAGAAAAAGGGGAUGGGGUUCAGAACCAACAAUUACCUCUAUUCUAUGUAGGAAACAAUAAUAUGAAAUACGCUGGGCACGGAAACUUUGAUACUAAAACUUGGUUUUUGUCCCUUUUAAAAAGUAAUACUUAAAAAGCUAUGUGGUUGUAGGCAAGCCAUUUCCCAUCCCCUGUGGAUGUCUCCUGAAUGACUCUAAACCUGUUCUAGUUCUCAAAGGCCUUUAACAUAAGUCCCCAGGCUACAGUGGCCACUUUAAAAAUACCCUCCCUAUGGUUGUUAGGUCUUAACGUUUCCAGCAGUUACAUAAACAUUUUUAUUUUUGAGGGAGGGUCUAUUCUUAUCAACUUUUAAAAAACACACAUCCGGUUCUUUUCUGGAAUUAAGAAGAUGCAAACUCCAAGUCCCCUGCCUUCCAUACUGCCUGCCUUUCUUCCUGUUCGUCCCUUAUUCCCAUCCCUGUUGAGUUUGUGCUAUGCACUGCAUCAGGUAUACCCUAGGUUUGGAGAUACAGGAUAAACCUGACUCAGAGGGGUCUUCCCUUUCUCUUCUGGUGCUUUCUUUGGAGGGAGUCUGUUGUAUCUAGGCAGACUGUGCUGUGGCGCCCCUGAGGUAACCACCCAGGCGCUUCAUUCUGCCUAAGCAAUUUCAUUGUGCACUAAGAUACACAUCCCAGUAACUGUCCAGAUUACCACAAGAACUUUCUCCAAAUAUAAGGAAGAGGGAGAUUUUACUUCUGAGAUGUGUGUAUGACAACCCUCCAUCCUGGGAAGAACACUGAAUACUGCCUGCACCUCAUCCUAGCCUAAGGAGUGAGAGUGUUUUCCUGUAUCAUCCCGGUGGAUUGCUACUUCUUUAAGAAGGAAUGGGAAAAACACCAAACAGACAAACAUGUUAUCACAAAUUCAGUCUGACCUCAUUGGAAAUCCUUUUAAAAAUUAAUCAUUUCUAUCUCUUCAUUAUCAACAAAUCUACUGAAUACUUCUCUCUUGAGUCCAGGGCAUAUUUUAUAAUACAUAAAACAAUGAAAUUUCAAAUUCAGAGCACUGACAUAUACUAUUCGUUUUGAGUAUUUUUAUUAUAGGGAAUGACUUUAGACAUUCCAAUUUAUGACUUAAGUGGUAAAAUGGAUAGCUCUUGACUUUCAACUUUCCUUUUCAGUUCAGGUCAAGGAAUAGCUACCUCCAGGUAAUGUCUACACUUUCCUAUGACUAAGGACUCUAACUAUUUCUGUUGCCUUUCUUUAUGCAGGCAUAUGUUAGCAUUUCUUUUCUAUGUGACAAAUGUACUAAAGAGAGUAUAAAAUUCAUGAGAUAAGCUUUUUGGAUAGGAAUUUAGAAAAACAAGGAGUCCAGAUAAAUGAGUGAAAAAUCAACUUAAAUAAUCAACAUAUCCAAGAUAUGUAUUGGAAUAAAUGUCUAUUGUACCAUUUUGGUUUUGUCUUGUUUUCUAUUUUUGUUCUUAUUGAUGAUGAUGUUGUUUGUUUGUUAUUUGAGAAAGAACAGAAGGUUGGGUGGAUAGGAAGGUAGAGAGGAUCUAUCUGGAUGGAGUUGGGAGGAGGGAAAAGUACAUGAUCAAAUGUAUUUUAUGAUGGGUGGAGCAUAGUGGUGUAUGUCUUUAAUCCCAGCACUCAGGAUGCAGAGGCAGGUGGAUCUCUGUAAAUUGGAGGCCAGCCUGGUAGACAAAGGAAGACCAGAACAGGGCUCUGUUACACAAAGAAAUCCUAUUUCAAAUAUAUAUGUGUGUGUGUGUGGGGGGGGUGUUGUGUAAUUUUUAACUAAAACUGUUUAUCUUUUGAGAUAGUCACAGGUAACCCAAACUGGUCUUGUGACUGGUAUAAACACACACAGUUAAUGUUCAGAUCCUGUAGGUAGCAUGCCUCCCUUUGUGGAGAAGGCACCAUUCCUCCCUCUGUGGUGCAGAAGUGGAAUCAGUAAACCCAUAGAAUUCCAACCGUUCUAGUGAAAACGUUCUGCUGAGCACCUCACACUUCCAAGUGUGAAAGCUCCGAGCAUCUGAGUGCUAGCCCUGUGAAGGUAUGUAUGUGUGAAUGGUCUGGUGUGUUCUACUUCCAGCCAUUGACCUUGAAGCAACGUCUAUGUUUUCUUUAUCCUU